rnacentral:lncRNA from 1 species
GUUUCAUCCUUCUGGCACCCCGGUGAGGUGCGGCCUGUCGGGCUGUUUGUCAUAGACGCACCCGCCUUAAGACAAGCAUCUUGGCAACUUCCUAGACUCUCUUUCGAGGUGCUUCCAAGUUUGACGCGUGGCUAACAGUCCAUUGUGUCUGUGUCAAAGUGCCAGGAGGAUUGAUGAGAUGAUGUUGGCAAAGCUGAGCGCGAUAAAGACACUCCUUUCUGUUCUGAAACCUUAUUAGGAUACCGAGAGUUCUUUCAAUCCAGAAUCCGCUGGGGAAAACUGGUCAUGCUGCAGCCUUGUAAACGACCAGCCUGUUCCCAUUUCCUGCCCAGAGCCGGCUCUCAGCAGAAAGCGGUGGGGGUUAGUCACGUCUUCCCGGCUGUGCGCAGUCCUCAGGGGAGGGCACCUCCACAGAAUUCCAGGCUUUCUGAACUCGCUGUGGUUACAUCUUUGAACUUGUUAAGAAACAUAUGAUUGCAAACUGGCUUUGAAAAGUAAUGCCGAUGGGCAAGUCAUCCAGAAAGGCUAAGACCCUUAUUCUGGGAAAUUCUCUGCUUUCCUGGGAAGAAAACUGCUGCAGUGAAUGACGAUGAGGUGAAACAAAACCAAAGGAAUGAAGACCUUUCCAUCCCCUGUGCUGCUUCCGCCCGUUUUUUGGAAGCUCAGUCUCAGAGGUUGUUGGGAGCCUGC